AAGUGCAUGUGGUGGAUGCCUUGGCGAUUACAGGCGAUGAAGGACGUUGUAGCCUGCGAUAAGCCGCGGGGAGCUGGCAAACAAGCUUUGAUCCGCGGAUGUCCGAAUGGGGAAACCCACCCGCAAGGGUAUCGCUGACUGAAUCCAU
rnacentral:sRNA from 1 species